GGGCUAUGCACUAGAUACUGCCACAUAUGUUCUAAAUAAAUUAUCUUCAAAUUCUAUUUCUAGCACUCCAUAUAAGAUUUAAAAAUGAAAGAGGUCAAGCCUUAAAAAUUUAAAAAAAUGGGGCUACCCAACUUAUAAGAAAAGAGUUGACGGACAUAAGCUCAGUGCUAGAUCGAAUAAGUAUAGAUUUAUAGGUUAUCCUAAGAAGAGUA
rnacentral:lncRNA from 1 species